UAAUACCUGAUAAGCCCACGGGGUCUUCGGACCUUGCGGGAAAAGGGGGGGACCUUCGGGCCUUCUGUCGUCGGAUGAGUCCGCGUACCAUUAGCUAGUUGGUGGGGUAAAGGCCUACCAAGGCGACGAUGGUUAGCUGGUCUGAGAGGAUGAUCAGCCACACUGGAACUGAGACACGGUCCAGACUCCUACGGGAGGCAGCAGUGGGGAAUUUUGCGCAAUGGGGGAAACCCUGACGCAGCAACGCCGCGUGAGUGAUGAAGGCCUUCGGGUCGUAAAGCUCUGUCAGAGGGAAGGAAGUGUGCUAUGGCUAAUAUCCAUGGCACUUGACGGUACCCUCAAAGGAAGCACCGGCUAACUCCGUGCCAGCAGCCGCGGUAAUACGGAGGGUGCGAGCGUUGUUCGGAAUUAUUGGGCGUAAAGCGCGUGUAGGCGGUUUUUUAAGUCUGAUGUGAAAGCCCUGGGCUCAACCUGGGAAGUGCAUUGGAAACUGGAAGACUUGAGUACGGGAGAGGGCAGUGGAAUUCCUAGUGUAGGAGUGAAAUCCGUAGAUAUUAGGAGGAACACCGGUGGCGAAGGCGGCUGCCUGGACCGAUACUGACGCUGAGACGCGAAAGCGUGGGGAGCAAACAGGAUUAGAUACCCUGGUAGUCCACGCCGUAAACGAUGAGUACUAGGUGUCGCGGGUA
rnacentral:rRNA from 1 species